UGUAUUCUGCUCUGAACUUAUCUUAUUUUUACAUGCAGGUUUCAUUAUGUCUUUAUUAUGUCAUGUGAAGCACUUGUUGCAUACAAUUUCUUUGUUGAAAAGCACAUAGGGCUGUAUUUCUUUUAUGAAAGGUGCUAUACAAAUACAGUUUAUCAUUAUUAUUAAUAACAACCAUAGAUCAUUUUUUCUGAUAGCCCAACUAUUGAUUACAUUUUGUCGAACACACUUAGAGUCUGUAGUGUUGACUGCAAUAUCACAUCCUUUCACAGAAACCAUUACGUGUCACAGUCAUCCGUGACGGCCAGAAAGCUCAGAUGAGCCUGACUCCACAGCGAUGGUCAGGCAGAGGGCUGCUGGGAUGCAACAUUGUUCCAAUCCAUCGGUGAUCACCACGACAUUGUGCAGAAUUUAAGUUGUGAAACACUUCAGUCAUGUUGAACCUGGAUGGUUUCAUACUGAUUUUGUACAAACUGCAGACAUUUCCACCUUUUUUAAUUUCUCAGUAUCUUUAUCCAAACUGGUACGCCACAGAAUGGGAUAUAUGAAAAUAAAGUAUCACAGUAUUUCUGUUAAA